CAGCUGACUGGUGGACGUAAACACGGACGUCGCGCGACCUGGAUUGAUGAAGAAAAGGACUUUGGAGUCAGAAUCCAUCAUUCACUGAAAGUUUCAUAACAAGUGGGAGUGACAGUAAAAAAAAAGCUAACCAAACCCUUGGAAUAAUCAAGCAUACCUUUACCUUUAAGAAAAAAGAAGGUACCUACUUGCUGCUAGAUAAACAUAUGCAUCAGGUAAAAGAAAUGGGCCCAACUGCAUCUGUCCUAUUGCAGGAAUCGAACCUCAGUUGUGAAACAAUGACAUAGACUUAUUACAAUAAUCAUGGAGUGUUACUGUACUGUAGUAAGUUGGCUGGGAGGAUUCAAUGUGUUUAUUUGUGUCAGCAUUGAUUAUUUUAUGCAAUGUAUUUACUGUACUUCUUGAUUUUUGGGGUAAUAUUAAUAUCAGAUUUGAAAAUACUGUAGCUAAACUGUUUAGCUCUGUGCUCAUUAUUAUAUAUUAUUAUUACUACAUACAAACAAUAUUGAUUAUUGACCAACUUGUAAAACUGCUGAUAUUCACCCAGUAUAAACUUGAAGAAAAUUGUAGUCUUCUGUUUAUUUAGUUAAAAUUACUCCUGCUGUUGUUUCAAUUUCUACUGUUCCAUUUCAUGUUCCAUCUAAUUAUUAUCAUUCUUUGUUAUUUUUUUCCAUUUUUCAAUUCAAUUUAUCCUUUGAUCUCAAUUAGUUUUAAGUUUUAGUCAGUGUUUUUCCCACAUAUUGCCUGAAACGCUGUGUGUAUUAGUGGCUUUAGCCAUAGUAUGUACUAGCUCUAUUUAGAAAUCCAACAUUCUGUUUGUAACUCAUUUUGAAUGUAUGUACAUACUUUCACCUGAAUA